GCCACCUUGCCGUCUGCUUUAACGCGAACACGAGGCUUUUUACACCAGGAGCUGGAUGCGGCUAAGGUCGUUCUUCUCAACUUUCUUAAGGUCUCAAACAUAGUCCAGCAUCAACGAACCAUCAGUUUGGAAGGGUUACUGAUAUUUGUUCGCGACGACGAGACCAAACUCUUCUUAACAUGUCUGAUCCAGUUGAGAGGGCAACCUGAGGUGUUACGGUGGGCAUCCUCACUGUUCUGGAGGACUACGUGGGACCCAACUCGCAGUCCACAGGGGUCAACACUGCCAUUGUUUUGGAAGAGAACAUUAUUCUUGAUGAUCUGCCAGACCUUCCCACUGCCUUUGCCUACCUGGCCUACUUUAUGGACUCAACAUGGAGUUUCCCAAAGAACUCAAGUACACAUUUGUUUGCUGUAUGGAAACCAGAUAGAAGAGUUCACAUCCUGCCAUCUGAUGUUUUGAAUCUGUUUGUUAGUGACUAUCAAUCAAGAUAGGUUUGAUAUUCUGUCUGACAAUACCACACCUUUAAAAUUGUAACAUUUAUUACAAGAAUUUGGCUUUUUUUUUUUUUUUUUUUUUUUUUUGGGAAAAGGACUUUAUUUGUGGCUGAAUGUUGUCAGUAUGUUAAAAAUGGCUCAUCUCAAAACAUUGUCAGUGGUGCAAUUGUGUUUGAAUACAA
ensembl:lncRNA